UACGUAGGCAGCGAGCGUUGUUCGGAGUUACUGGGCGUAAAGCGUGCGUAGGCGGUGGCCUAAGUCUGUUGUGAAAUCUCCCGGCUUAACCGGGAGGGUGCGGCGGAAACUGGGUUGCUGGAGUGCGGGAGAGGUAAGCGGAAUUCCCGGUGUAGCGGUGAAAUGCGUAGAUAAUCGGGAGGAACACCUGCGGUGUAGACGGCUUACUGGACCGUAACUGACGCUGAGGCACGAAAGCGUGGGGAGCAAACAGG
rnacentral:rRNA from 1 species